AUCAACGCUGGCGGCGCGCUUAACACAUGCAAGUCGCACGAGAAAGCAGGAGCAAUCUUGUGAGUACAGUGGCGUACGGGUGAGUAACACGUGGAUCAUCUACCUUCUAGUGGGGAAUACCCCCGGGAAACUGGGGACAAUACCGCAUAAGCUCGUGAGAGGAAAGCAGCAAUGCGCUGGAAGAGGAGUCCGCGGCUGAUUAGCUAGUUGGCGGGGGUAACGGCCCACCAAGGCGAAGAUCGGUAGCCGGCCUGAGAGGGCACACGGCCACACUGGCACUGAAACACGGGCCAGACUCCUACGGGAGGCAGCAGUGGGGAAUCUUGCACAAUGGAGGAAACUCUGACUGCAGCGACGCGCCGCGUGAGCGAUGAAGCCCUUCGGGGUGUAAAGCUCUUUCGACGGGAACGAUAAUGACGGUACCCGAAGAAGAAGCUGCGGCUAACUACGUGCCAGCAGCCGCGGUAAUACGUAGGCAGCAAGCGUUGUUCGGAAUUACUGGGCGUAAAGAGUGUGUAGGCGGUGCUCUCUAAGUCUGUCGUGAAAUCUCCGGCUUAACUGGGAGGGUGCGGCGGAAACUGGGAGUGCUCGAGGAUGGGAGAGGUAAGCGGAAUUCCUGGUGUAGCGGUGAAAUGCGUAGAUAUCAGGAGGAACACCUGCGGUGUAGACAGCUUACUGGACCAUUUCUGACGCUGAGACACGAAAGCGUGGGUAGCAAACAGGAUUAGAUACCCUGGUAGUCCACGCCCUAAACGAUGCAUACUUGGUGUGUGAGCGAUUCAUUUCGUUCGUGCCGGAGCUAACGCGUUAAGUAUGCCGCCUGGGGAGUACGGUCGCAAGGCUGAAACUCAAAGGAAUUGACGGGGGGCCCGCACAAGCGGUGGAGCAUGUGGUUCAAUUCGACGCAACGCGAAGAACCUUACCUGGGCUCGAACGGCUAUGGACAAUCCUUGGAAACAGGGACUUCUCGCAAGAGACUGUAGUCGAGGUGCUGCAUGGCUGUCGUCAGCUCGUGUCGUGCAGAUGUUGGGUUAAGUCCCGCAACGAGCGCAACCCUUGUCCUGUGUUGCCAUCAUUUAGUUGGGCACUCUCAGGAGACCGCCAGCGAUAAGCUGGAGGAAGGUGGGGAUGAUGUCAAGUCAUCAUGGCCUUUAUGUCCAGGGCUACACACGUGCUACAAUGGCCGGUACAAAGCGCUGCAAAACUCGCAAGAGGGAGCUAAUCGCAAAAAAACCGGUCUCAGUUCGGAUCGCAGGCUGCAACUCGCCUGCGUGAAGCUGGAAUCGCUAGUAAUGCCGUAUCAGAACGAUGGCGUGAAUACGUUCCCGGGCCUUGUACACACCGCCCGUCACAUCACGAAAGUGGAUUGUACUAGAAGUUCCCCUUAAAGGACCCAAGGUAUGAUUCAUGAUUGGGGUG
rnacentral:rRNA from 1 species